GACGAACGCUGGCGGCACGCCUAACACAUGCAAGUCGAGCGGGAACUUCGGUUCUAGCGGCGGACGGGUGAGUAACACGUGAGCAACCUGCCUUUCAGAGGGGGACAACAGUUGGAAACGACUGCUAAUACCGCAUGACAUCCUGCGUUUGGAGACGCGGAGAUCAAAGCCGGGGAUCGCAAGACCUGGCGCUUGGAGAGGGGCCCGCGGCCGAUUAGCUAGUUGGUGAGGUAACGGCUCACCAAGGCGACGAUCGGUAUCCGGCCUGAGAGGGCGGACGGACACACUGGGACUGAGACACGGCCCAGACUCCUACGGGAGGCAGCAGUGGGGGAAUAUUGGACAAUGGGCGCAAGCCUGAUCCAGCCAUGCCGCGUGGGUGGAUGAAGGCCC
rnacentral:rRNA from 1 species